ACUGAUCUCAAAACAUACUGUUUUAUUCAUUUAAUUAAAAUACGUAUCUUGAGUGAGAGUUAUAUAUGGCUUUGGUCUUUCGAAAUUUGCUUCGACAAAAUAAUGAGAAAAGAAGAGGCAAAUCUGAAGUUUAUUUGUUUACAAUGAUAUAACCAACGACAAAAUCUUAUAAACGAAAACUUUCAAUUGCGAACUUGAAUAUACAUCACUUUAUUUUUUUACCCAUCACCGAAGGUACCUACCUGUGUGUCUGUGGGUAUGUCUGUGUGGUGUUUGUUGUUGGCAUUCUCCUCGUCGCAAAAAUGAAGAUACCAACUUCAAACGAAUAUGCGUUUA